rnacentral:rRNA from 1 species
UACGUAGGUGGCAAGCGUUGUCCGGAAUUAUUGGGCGUAAAGCGCGCGCAGGUGGGAAGAUAAGUCUGUCGUAAAAGAACAGAGCUCAACUCUGUUAAGCGAUGGAAACUGUCUUUCUUGAGUACAGGAGAGGAAAGUGGAAUUCCCAGUGUAGCGGUGAAAUGCGUAGAUAUUGGGAGGAACACCAGUGGCGAAGGCGGCUUUCUGGACUGUGUCUGACACUGAGGCGCGAAAGCUAGGGAAGUGAACGGGAUUAGAUACCCCGGUAAUCCUAGCCGUAAACGAUGGGUACUAGGUGUAGGAGGUAUCGAACCCUUCUGUGCCGGAGUUAACGCAAUAAGUACCCCGCCUGGGGAGUACGGCCGCAAGGUUG